GAUGAGGAACGUAGCGAAAUGCGAUAAGUAAUGUGAAUUGCAGAAUUCAGUGAAUCAUCGAAUCUUUGAACGCACAUUGCGCCCGCCAGUAUUCUGGCGGGCAUGCCUGUUCGAGCGUCAUUUCAACCAUCAAGCCCCCGGCUUGUGUUGGGGACCUGCGGCUGCCGCAGGCCCUGAAAAGCAGUGGCGGGCUCGCUGUCACACCGAGCGUAGUAGCAUACAUCUCGCUCUGGGCGUGCUGCGGGUUCCGGCCGUUAAACCACCUUCAUAACCCAAGGUUGACCUCGGAUCAGGUAGGAAGACCCGCUGAACUUAAGCAUAUCAAUAAGCGGAGGA
rnacentral:misc_RNA from 1 species